AACCCCCAAGAUACAAUAUAAACAAAGAGACAGAUCAAGUGGAAGAGAAGAGGAUUAGAGAGGAAGCCACAUAGCAAAAGCAAGCCCAGAGAGAAGAAUCAGGAGGAAAUUGAAAAGGAUUGGAGAGGGAAGAAAAGGGUAGGAGAGGAGUGAUGAAGAGAAAGAGAAAGAGGAAAGAGGGAAAGGAAGGCAGAAGAGGAAGGAU
rnacentral:misc_RNA from 1 species